GCAUCAGUGGUGUAGCGGUAACAUUGGGUCUUCCCAUUUCAAAACCUGUGGUGGCCUAGCUCGGGGUUCGACCCCCCGCUGAUGCA